AUCCCGCAGUGAUGUCCACGGACAUCAACUACUUUCGUUCAUUCCCGAGAGGCUAAAUUUUAUGAUAGCGCCUUUUACGCGACGCAGAUCGAUAGAUUUAACGCUCCUGAGUUGACUCUCGAGGUAUCGAAUAGAUCGAUUCGGCCGCUGUGUGUGUGUGUAAACAAAGACCGUCACGACGCUCCGGCUUGGCGGCUGUGAGCUCUCGGCGAGGUUUAGAGGUGUGCCGCGGCAAGGUUAGUGACUAAAACAGUUCGAAAAAAAUAUUCCAAGCUCGAAUGAGCCUUUGAGAAUGCUGAUCAAUCAAUAUUUUAGUGUAUUUUCAAUGUUGCCUAACUCAAUAAUGCCGUGGAAUAGUUGAUUUCCCAGGACAUCACUGCCGGGCCAGGAAAUUCUAUUUUAUCAAGUGGGUUUUCAUCCAAAAUGCCUGACUGAGCGUGUUUCACCUUCAAACCAAUGUGUUUUGUUUACCACAAAAAAUAUUUUUAGGGAACAUGAAGUAUUUUCCAAAAUAUUGAGGAAAUUGUGAAAUUUAGCUUUUUGUCGACACUUUGUCUGAUUAUAAAACGGAUAUAAUAAUGACUUAGGGUUGCCUUCAACUAACUCCGCAUUCUCACCCGCACUGCGAAGGAAAACAUACCCCUAAAACCUCCGGCAGGAAGCCCGUUUACAUUUGGGAGGUUAUUCGACUACACGGCAGUGAUGUCCCUGGACAUCAACUCAGAAAAAGCACUUUCGGACGCGACCAAACACUAAAAUCGAUAAAAUCGUAUUAUUUGAUGCCUAAAUAGUGAGGAAGUCGCAAAAAAUAAUUUUUUUAAAGGUUAUUUCCAUGGUUGCCGGUUUAAGGGUUAAAUCGGUCUCGUCAUGCGAUAGCCGCAUCUCUUAAGAGUAAAUAACAUUUUUUGUCGGUGUCGCAGGUCCAUCCAUUCGGUCCAAAUCGUGCACGCCACACGCCACGACAAGGUGCGACCGUCCACUUCGAGGCAAAGAAGAUCGGGUUCACGAAGGUCUGCCCCCUUAAAAAUGUUCUUGGAUCAUAUAAUGAGUGGUGUGGUGACAAAAAAGAUUGAAUCAGACAGCGAAUCCGAAGGCUUCGGACGCCAAGCACAAGAAAGUUAAAGGACCUGAAGUGUGCAGCUACACACAAAUGAUACAAGCUUUUCAAAUCUGCAAAGCUGGCAGUAACGAACGCCACAAACAAGGAAAGGGCCGUGCAGACCCUAGCCGGAUACGUCUAAAAAAUAAUUGGUUUCGUUGAAAACUGCAUGGGCCAGCCUGCCAAUGAGUUUUUCUGGCUGGAAACACCAGAACAUCGUGAAGAAUUCCUCAAAACUUAAAACGGCCAGCAUGCAAGAUGAUGCAGUGGCAAACUACACUCGUCAAAACCUUUAGCGGGCCACUUUUUUACGCCUGGAUUAAAAUAUCUCCCCGAGCGCCUAGGAAGUCGAGAUUUGCGACAUAGACAUGCAUCCAUGUGUGUAGUUUAACAUCCUCGAGCGCGAAUGUCGUGCGACACCCCUCACGCCGUACGCAUCCCCUAAUGAUCAUGGGGGCGGAAAAGUCGAAAAAAAAACCGUAAAAGGUAUCAGCUACAUCUUGCUGACGCAGGGCGCUCCCUCGAGAUUCUAAUUGAAAUUGAAAGCAUCAACUGGCACUACAAUGAUGGCGGCGACCUUAACGAAAUCAAGGACGGAUGGAAUUUUGUGGUCCGAUUCCUUCAUUGUGAAAUACUUCAUGCCGGAUCAAAGAGGGGCGGGUCCCCGGUGAAAUUAUACGGAGGGAUGUCCUUGAACCCCACCAGGGUGAAAACGGCCUUUUUGUGGUAACUGUCUCCAACCACAAAACUGGAACCACCCACGGCGCCUCUGUGAUUGUGCUAAACGAAGCACAGAUGGACAGAAUGAAGUAGUUUGCAAUCUUAAGAAGAGACAUUGGGGACGCAGAACAAUGGACUAGUGAAAAGUUCCUGUAGAAGAGCUGACCAUUGCAGCUCUAGGGAAAACCUCAGAAUUUAUGACCUACUUUGAUAAAAACUGGCAUACGGAAAAAACACUCAUCUAGUGUGGUGCGAUUACCAGCGGAAUGCAAGCUUCAGCCUCGGUGAAAGGACCACAGGCAGAGUGGAAAGUCACAAUGUCAAAAUCAAAAUUAUGGUGACAAUCAUGAGGCUGUGUGUUUUAAAGACCCUGUCAUUCAGUGCUGCAUCCUUAGAGAAAACGCACCUUUUGUGGGUAAAUUUCUUCGUGCGCAGUGUGAGAGCAGCCUUGAACCACAAAGCAACACUAUUCACAUAACAACCACUGAAGAUUGUGAUUGAAAGUAUUUUACUCAGUCAAGCCUAAUCUGCUCACAUAUGAUCAGAGAGCGUAAACUGCAGGGUAAAGCCCAGGGACAUUUAAGGCCUUACAUCACAGUUAAGCCCCUUGUUUUAAACUUAUUGUUUCUGGUUAUUUUUUAAAGUUAAAAUGAGUCAGGUGAUCAAAACUAGGUAAUAAUUAUGUAGGUAGGUUCCUUUUUAAACAAAUCAUACAAAAAAAAAGUUCCGGAAACUUUGGGUUUGUAAAGGAACGACAGUUUUCAUACUUGAGUCAUUUUUCCCAAUUAUCACUUCGCAAGAUUUCAGAAGCUAGGAUAAUGAUAAAACCGUAACUUCUCAAAUAUUUGGAAGACAUGUCAUUUAGGGCUGAACCAAUGAAAACAGUAGAAAAUUAUUAAUUAAAACAAGAAAAUAAUUUUGGAGUAUAUUUGCAAAAAUGUUAUUAAUGUCUACAAAUGCUACAAAAUUAUUUUCUUGUGAAAUCUUGCGCGUUAAGUGAUAAUUGGGAAAAAUGACUCAAGUAUUAAACUGUCGUUCCUUUACAAACCGGGUAGGU